rnacentral:rRNA from 1 species
CCUACGGGCGGCAGCAGUAGGGAAUCUUCCACAAUGGACGAAAGUCUGAUGGAGCAACGCCGCGUGAGUGAAGAAGGGUUUCGGCUCGUAAAGCUCUGUUGGUAGUGAAGUAAGAUAGAGGUAGUGACUGGCCUUUAUUUGACGGUAAUUACUUAGAAAGUCACGGCUAACUUCGUGCCAGCAGCCGCGGUAAUACGUAGGUGGGAAGCGUUGGCCGGUUUUAUUGGGAGUAAAGGGAGUGCAGGCGGUUCAAUAAGGCUGAUGUGAAAGCCGUCGGCUCAACCGGGGAAGUGUAGCAGAAACUGUUGAACUUGAGUGCAGAAGAGGAGAGUGGAACUCCAGGUGUAGCGGUGGAAUGCGUAGAUAUAUGGAAGAACACCAGUGGCGAAGGCGGCUCUCCGGUCUGCAACUGACGCUGAGGCUCGAAAGCAUGGGUAGCGAACAGGAUUAGAUACCCGGGUAGUC